GACGAACCGUGCGAACGUUGUUCGGAUUCACUGGGCUUAAAGGGCGCGUAGGCGGACGGUCAAGUCAGGGGUGAAAUCUUUCAGCUCAACUGGAAAAGUGCCUUUGAUACUGAUCGUCUCGAGGGAGGUAGGGGCAUGUGGAACUUCCGGUGGAGCGGUGAAAUGCGUAGAUAUCGGAAGGAACGCCGGUGGCGAAAGCGACGUGCUGAACCUCUUCUGACGCUGAGGCGCGAAAGCCAGGGGAGCGAACGGG
rnacentral:rRNA from 1 species